GCCCUCAUUGUCUAAUGGCUAUGACGUCAGACUUCUACAUUUGUGGAGUCGUUUCCCAAUGAGGCAAUCUGGAGGUUGCGGGUUCGAGUCCCGCUGGGGGUA